rnacentral:rRNA from 1 species
GAUGAACGCUGGCGGCGUGCCUAAUACAUGCAAGUCGAGCGAACAGACGAGGAGUUUGCUCCUCUGACGUUAGCCGCAGACGGGUGUGUAACAUGUGGAUAACCUACCUAUAAGACUGGGAUAACUUCGGGAAACCGGAGCUAAUACCGGAUAAUAUAUUGAACCGCAUGGUUCAAUAGUGAAAUACGGUUUUGCUGUCACUUAUAGAUGGAUCCGCGCCGCAUUAGCUAGUUGGUAAGGUAACGGCUUACCAAGGCAACGAUGCGUAGCCGACCUGAGAGGGUGAUCGGCCACACUGGAACUGAGACACGGUCCAGACUCCUACGGGAGGCAGCAGUAGGGAAUCUUCCGCAAUGGGCGAAAGCCUGACGGAGCAACGCCGCGUGAGUGAUGAAGGUCUUCGGAUCGUAAAGCUCUGUUAUUCGGGAAGAACAAAUGUGUAAGUAACUAUGCACGUCUUGACGGUACCUGAUCAGAAAGCAACGGCUAACUACGUG